AAGCAAGCUGCAGGGUCUGGAGGGGAGCGAAUUUGUGCUGCUGCCCUCUGGGAUGCUCUUGAUCUCUCCUACCCUAGACUCCAGCUGCCCUUCUGAAGAGGACCUGGAGGUAUCUGACACUUCCCUGAGGAAAAAGAUGGUCUUGUAAGUAAGCAAAGCAGGAAGUUGCAGGCUAUAGAAGCUGUGACACACUAGAUGACAGAACCCUCCACACAGCAUUUCAUCCUUUGCUCCAGGAGCUGACUGGCUAAGGCAAAACAUAAAUGAAAAUUGACAUGGUAAAGAUGACGGUCCAGGUCCAGUGGCUCACAUCUGUAAUUCCAGCACUUUGGGAGGCUGAAGCAGGUGGAUUACGAGGUCAGGAAUUAAAGACCAGCCUGGCCAACAUGGUGUAAACCCGGCUCUACUAAAAACCUGGCUCCUGUAAUCCCAGCUACUUGGGAGGGUGAGGCAGGAGCAUCACUUGAAACUGGAAGGCGGAGGUUGAAGUGAGCUGAGGUCAUGCCAUUUGAACCUUCAGCCUGGGCAAAAAGACUGAAACUCCAUCUUAAAAAAAAAUAAAAAGAAAGAAAGAAAGAGAUAAUGGACCCAUAAGAAGCAAAUGAAAACAAAUUCUUAAGAACUCAAACAGAUUUACAGGAAAAAAACAAACAAGCCCAUUCAAAAGUGGGCAAAGGAUAUGAACAGAUACUUUACGAAAGAAGACAUAUAUGAGGCCAACAAUCAUAUGAAAAAAUGCUCAUCGUCACUGGUCAUCAGAGAGAUGCAAAUCAAAACCACAUUGAGAUACCAUCUCACGCCAGUUAGAAUGGCGAUCAUUAAAAAAUCUGGAGACAACAGAUGCUGGAGAGGAUGUGGAGAAAAAGGAACACUUUUACACUGUUGGUGGGAGUGUAAAUUAGUUCAACCAUUGUGGAAGACAGUGUGGCGAUUCCUCAAGGCCUUAGAAAUAGAAAUUCCAUUUGACCCAGCAAUCCCAUUACUGGGUGUAUAUCCAAAAGACUAUAAAUCGUUCUACUAUAAGGACACAUGUACACGAAUGUUCAUUGCAGCACUGUUUACAAUAGCAAAGACCUGGAAUCAACCCAAAUGCCCAUUGAUAAUAGACUGGAUUGGAAAAAUGUGGCACAUAUACACCAUGGAAUAUUAUGCAGCAAUCAGAAAUGAUGAGUUUGUGUCGUUUGUAGGGACAUGGAUGAAUCUGGAAAACAUCAUCCUCAGCAAACUGACACAAGAACAGAAAAUGAAACACCGCAUA